UAUCCUAUAACAUGUCACCGAAAAAGUGCUGUGUCUUAUUUCAAAAGAUUAAAAUUAGAUUCACAAAAGGGGAAUAAGUCAGAAUUUUCAUUGAACGUCAUAACCAAAAGUAAAAAUUACUUGCUAAAUAUGAAACAGCUAGUGGUCAACUUAAUGUCUUACUUUUUGAGGAUUAAGAAAUAGAGUUCACAUUCAUUUCUUCAUUGAUUUACAGUAUACUAACUAGAGGUGUCAUUGAGUUUAUGGAUUGUAAACUAAACUUUAGUCUCAAAAAAAAAAUCUAAGAAAGGCAAACAGAUAAAUAAAUAAGGUAAUACCUGAAAGUAAAUGUUACAAUAAACUUUUACAUACAACUGGCAAUGCAACAAUGAAGCCUACAGGGAAGGCAUUGAUUGAAAAAAAGUGAUUUACUGAGUGAUCAAGGAGAUGACAAGGGGCACCUCAAGUAGAGGAAAUAGUUUGAAAAGUUAUGGAGACAUGAAAACCACAUUUUACUUGGGAAAUACUUAUGAAUGAAACAUGGGAAGAGUGUUCAGAGGAGGAGAUGGAGGAAAAACUGAGUUGAUGCCAAUAAAAGAAAGUUAUUCAAAGUUUGGUCAGUGCGAUAUUUGGAUUUAUUUGUGCCUCUGUAUCUGUUAGGAUGCUUCUGGUUUCUCGGAACAGAAUCCCCAAACCAAACUGGGUUCAUAGCAUCACCACUGAGGCUUAAUUUGUCCGCAGUUCUUCAGCUCCACCCACCUGCACGUGUGAAAACGUCCGUCCUCCAGUCAGUAUUCAUUCCUCUGUGAGUCGCAGACGCCACAGGUUCAUAUCCUCUUAACUGUUCUCUCUUACGGUCCCACCAAAACAAAACAGAACAAAACAACAACAACAACAAAACACACACACAAAAAAAACAAAACAAAACAAAAACAAAAACAAAAAAACAAGCAAACCCCCCCAAAAUCCUAAAAUCUCAUUGGCUUACAUUGGGUGAUGCAUCCAUACUUGGAUGAACCACCGUGGCCAGAAUUUGAGAUGAUUUGAUGAGUUUAAAGUGAACCUGAGCCCUUUCUUGGGCUUGUCUGCUGGAUGUACUUCCCCAAGGAUACAGGUCUGCGUAGAUGAGGGGUGAAUAUUUAAAUGAAAUUCAGCGUCCAUUUAUAAAGAGGAAUUAGAAAUGAAGGCCGAGUAACAAAAUAUGGCACAUUUCCAUUUCUUGUUAAUGGAUGUAUUUCCUACUACAACUCGUUGGAUUUUCUAAAAACUGGCAGAGAAAAUUCUGCAAAUAUUAGUGAAUUAAAGUUACUGCCAUGAACCCCAGAGGGAACAAACAAGCAUUAUAGAUUUAGUUCCCCAAAUGCCUGCUAUACAAAGGCACUCUAUGGGUCACUGAAGAAGACGCAAACUGCUGCAAUUUUAAAGAAGAGUGGUGCAUUUGACAACUCAAUAUUUCAGUGCUUUUAGAUGAGCAUCACAGAGAGGACUAGAAAAUGCAAUUUAGCUAUUUUAUUUUAUUUUUAAAUUUUUAUUUAUUUAUGAUAGUCACAGAGAGAGAGAGAGAGAGAGGCAGAGACAUAGGCAGAGGGAGAAGCAGGCUCCAUGCACCAGGAGCCCGACGUGGGAUUCAAUCCCGGGUCUCCAGGAUCACGCCCUGGGCCAAAGGCAGGUGCCAAACCGCUGCGCCACCCAGGGAUCUCACAGUUUAGCUAUUUUAAAUCAGAGGUUAUAUCAUAUCUACUUUCUCACACUCAUAAAAAAGAAAAAAAAUGCUUUAAGGAUUAGGCUCUUACAAAAUGCUUCUCAAAACAUCAUCCAGGAGUCAUUCCAAGUUGUAAAGUCAGGGCUAUUUGGGACUUCAAAGUCUCCUGGGACAGCCAUAUAGACUAUUUUGAGUCUUUUCUCUAGAUUCUAGCAUACACUUGAACACUGGAUGACGAUAAACAUAUUAAUCUCCCAAAGCAGCCAUUGCACUUGGCAGCAAUACUAGUUUUAUAAAGUUCUUCUUUGUAUGAAGUAAUGUGUUGUUCUGUAGUUUCUACCCUUUGUUUCAAAUAUCACUCCCUAGGGCUAGUCAAUGUCAAUUUAAUCCUUUACCUGUGGGAAAGUCAUACAGAUAUUUGAAGAGCAUACUCAUCUCUUUCUCACUCCUCAAGUGUUUUCUACUCAUAAGAAAUAUUUUCAGGUUUUUUAACUAUUUUGUUUGGUUACCAUUCUGUUUUCUUCACUCAGAGCAAACUCUAAUAACUUGGAGUGCAUAACCCAACAUGAUAUUCUUGAUAUAACUGGUCCUGAGACAUUCCCUCAUUCUCGUUCCAGUAACAAUGUUAAGAUUGCAUUAGCCUUUUUAAUAAUCUCAUUAAAAAAAUUAACAUUCAGGUUUAUUUUUAUUUAGACAUCUAGGUAUUUUUUCACCUUUUCAUCUCUAUAAUUCAAAUUAAGAUGGAGUUUUGCUAAUAGACUGAUAAUAAUUCUAAUAGUAUUAAGUCCUUGAGAAGCAUAAACUCUAGUAGAUAUAUAAUCAGAAUUUUCCAGAUGCAUUACAAAAUUCCCAUCCAGUGACUUAUCAUGAAUCUUCUAUUUAACUUUGUGGAUUAUACCUAACUUUGUAUGAUCAGAUCAAUCUGUUUUGGGGGAUUGACUACAAUGCACUUCAUCUCACCUCCCUUAAACCGGAGUGAGAUUUCAGAAAUGAUGGAAGCUCUUUAUCUUAGGAAGUAUGUGACCUUAUAGAAGACACAUGGUUUUGCGCCAUUUUAAACUUUCUGUCCUCAAUUUGGUUUCCAUUAAUCUAAUUAGCAAUCCUCCCAAUACAUACACAAGAGAACUUUAAUAAAUAAGAGGAGAUCUUUAAUAUAUGUUACAUGUCCACCAAUAUAUGCUUUGACUUGGCUCCGUCAAACCCAUUUUCAUCCUUGGCUUCAUCUUUUUGCUCCAUCUCUGCAUUUCCAGAUUGUCACAUCACUUGGUUGACUAACUUAGCUUUGAAUUAGUUUACAUCUUUUACCUGAAUUUUUUGAGUAGUAGUUCUUUUCCUUGGCCAGGUAACUCUAAUAAUAGAACAGAAUCUAUUGGCUCGGUAUAUCUGGUUAAAUAAGUGAACAUCCAUUACAAUACCCUUAUUUCAUGGUUUCAGUGGCACAACCCCACCCACACUAUAUCAGAUAGCCUGUGCUGGCACAUCUCAAUACACUAAGCAUGGAAUUUUGGGAAAGGGUGACAUUGGUUCACUUGACUAACCUACUCUCCAUCUUAAAUGCUAGAGCUACUUUUGACUUGCCUCAAACUAAUGACUAUGGUCUGUUAGAAUACAACCAACAUAAUUGUGGACUUGCAGGGGGCUAUCCAAUUCUCUGACAGAGAUCAUACAUAGUUAUCUAGAACUUGGUCCUCAGAGCAGAAAUUGCUCUUGCUUCCUCCAUCCAUUGCCUCUACAACUAGACUUGAGUCCUGGUUAAGUGUAUGUAUCUUUUUUCCAGAUGAAGGACUCCAAUAAUUAAUUCAUCAAUCAAAAUGCAUAUGGUGAUUUAAUUUUCAGGUCUUUUACAUUUAUUUACAGAAAUAAAAGGACCUAUUCAGUUCUUAUUAUUGGAUCUAUUCAGUGGUUCUUAUCCUGAUUGCAUGUUAGAACCACCUAGACUCAAGUCUCAAGUCUAGAAAAAUGGAUAAAAGUGGUUUGAAGUGAAGACAGGUGAUUAUUAUCUACAGGAGUUGAGAACCACUUUACUAUAUGACCUCCUAAAAGAGCAUAUUUUAUAUGUAUUAUGUGCCUAUUUAAGAGUGGAUGAAUAUGGAUUUCCAGACAUCUUGUAAGUUAUAAGUAUCCAUGAGAGUUAUGAGUGGAAGACUCCCUUUCUAAUGAGGCAUAGACAAUUUGAACAGCAGGUGGUGGUAGUAGAUGCAAAGCCACUGCUGCGUCCUUGCCAUAUUCUGGCAUCCUGCCUAAUCUCCAAGAGAUGAUGUAAUGGUAUAUUUAGAGAUUCCUUGAUAAAGAAUUUGGCCUUAUAUUAAAAUUGUCUAUUUAUUUUGAAUUGAUUGAAGGACAACUUCUGUCUGAGCCCAGAGAGACGUUUAUCUAAACAGCCCCAUUAAACUGGUACUUACUUUUCUGCACAAGAUAUUUGGAUCUGGAUGAGGUCAAUAAGUGUGGCUGCUGUCUUGAAAUAAUAACCCCCGAAGACAUCAAGGGCAUCCAUAAAUUAUCUGGACCUUUGUAGAAAACUGACUUUAUUUCUCAUCUCUCCUGUCAUGGUUCACAAUGCCAUUUUGUUUAGGGUAAAUAUGCUAAGACAUGCUUCUCUGUUACUUGGAAAGAGGUUCACUUUCCUCUUACUGUGUAGUUUGAGCUGAGAUUCUCUUAGCACCAUAGUCUGUCUGAUUUACUGUCUUGGAUCAGACCAUCAAUUCCUGGGACAGAAUUAAGUUACAGUAGUUUUUUCCACACUUUGACUCAGAGCAUACUAUCCUCUGCAAGCAAAAUUGUCACCCUUGAUAUUUUCUUCUCUGCCCAGUGUUAUCCUCUAGAAGCCAAAUAAGAGGCAACACAUGACUCUUCCUCUAUUACAUGUACAAUGACUAACCCUGUUACAAGCAAGAAAAGAAUAUGCCUUGUCUGUUCCAGAAAGCCAAGCAAUGCAGUGAUAUGUUUCUGUAUUUUACCAUGUAAGCCCAUCUACCCUGUAUUUCUCCAGUCCUUGUCCCUUAUUUUGUUUAUUAGAAAUACAUCCUGUCAAGCUUCAUUUGCCCACUUAACUUGUCCUAAUGAUGAGAAAGGAGAGCCAUAAAUUUCCUUCAGCUGUCCUGAGUUCCCAUGCUUAGAACUUGCUGAAUGCAAAAAAAAAAAAAAAAAAAAAAAAA
rnacentral:lncRNA from 1 species